UUGUUGUGGUGAUAUCAUAUGAACAUGUCCGUCAAUACCUGCAGCAGUAAGGAUUAGAUGUUCUCCCGAAAUUGCAUCGGUUGAGGCACCGGUAACGAGUGCAGGGUCUACAUUUGGCAUAAUAUUUGGAUUACCGGAUUUGCCUAUUCCUGCUAUCUUACCAUCUUUUAUACCUACGUCUGCCUUAACAACGCCUAAUAUAGGAUCCAAUACGGUAACAUUUGUAAUAACGAUAUCGAGCGAACCGUCAUUUGCAGAAGCCAUAUUAUCGAGUCCCAUACCGUCACG
rnacentral:sRNA from 1 species